rnacentral:lncRNA from 1 species
UUUCGUCGUGGAAGGUAGAUACAGACUGCUGCACCUGGGAAGGUGUAACAUGUGAAGGCACGUCGGGCUAUGUUACUUCUCUCGACCUGUCCUACCUCUGCAUCUCCGGUAAUCUCAGCUCACCGGACAUCUUUAAACUUACCUCGCUUCGCUCCCUUUACCUUUCUUACAACAAUUUUGAUGGAAGUCCAUGGCCAAGCUCCGGAUUGGAGCAGCUCACGAAUCUCAGGUACCUUGACCUCUCUUAUUCUGGCUUGUCUGGGAAUGUGCCCGUCGAGAAAGGCCAACUUUCCAAUUUAGUCACUUUAUACCUCUCUGGCCUUGAUCUAAAAUAUUUGAGCCUUAAGAUUUUGAUUGACAACCUUGUGGGUCUCCAAAAUCUAUAUCUUGAUGAGGUCAAUAUUUCAGUGAGUCCAACCGAUUUGGCACAUGGCUCUUCUACAAAUACAACGACAGGUCUCAAAGAGCUAAGAAUCAGGUGGUGGACGAUCACCGGUGGCCGUUCUGAUACUGUUCUUACUAAUCUCCUACUUCAUCCUAAGCUUGCCAAUUUAGUCACGCUAGAACUCUAUUAUUUGGAUCUUAAAAGUUCGAGCCUUCACACCUUGAUUGACAACCUUGGCAACCUCCAAAAACUAUAUCUUGAUUCUGUCAACAUUUCGGUCAGUCCAACCGAUCUGGCGCAUGCCUCCUCUACCAAUAAGAUGCCAGGUCUCGAAGAGCUAAGCAUGACAGGGUGCAUGAUCACUGGCCGUAUUGAUAUUGCUCUUACUAAGUUCCGAUUUCUAUCCAAGUUGACCCUUGAUGGCACACAUUUUAGUGGCCCUGCUCCUGUGCCAAAACGUUUUGUGGAGUUCUCAUCGCUCGCAGUUCUUAGUCUUCAAAACUGUGGGUUGACCCGGACGACCUUCCCUUCUUGGAUAUUUCAUAUCAAAAGCUUGAUGUCUCUCGAUGCAUCAGGGAAUGAAAAUCUAUGUGGAGAGUUGCCGGAGUUCAUACAGGGUAGCGCGUUGCAGGUUUUGAUCUUUAGUGGAACCAAGUUGUCAGGAAGAAUAACAGAAUCUAUCGGCAACCUCCGAAAUCUGACUAUGUUGGACCUUUCUUAUUGCCAAUUCCAUGGCCCUAUCCCACCAUUUGCUCAAUGGCCAAAAAUUGAGAUGGUUCAACUGUCAAGUAACAACUUAAAUGGUUCAUUACCUACAGAUGGCUACCUUUCUCUACACAACCUAACUUCAGUUUAUCUUCGUAACAACUUGAUAAGUGGUGUGAUACCUGCAUCUCUGUUUUCUCAUCCUUCUUUGAUGGAUUUAGAUCUCUCACAAAACAAUUUCACUGGAAAUUUUCUAUUGUAUCCAACUGUAUCUUCUAGUUUGAGAAGUAUCGAUCUUAGUUUUAACAAAUUACAAGGACCUCUUCCAAAACUUCUGUCGAAGUUUGUUGAACUAGAAUGGUUGGAUGUUUCGUCAAACAAUCUCACUGGAUCUGUGGAUCUAAGUUUCAUAAAGAAUUACGAGAUGCCCUCACUAUCACUAUCCCAUAAUAAGUUGUCUGUUGUCGAGGAGGAUGUCAAUCACUCCUACUUUGAAUAUCCAGCUAUUGGUAGAUUGGGAUUGGCAUCAUGUAACCUAUCAUCUGUACCUAAAUUUUUAAUGCACCAGAGAAGCAUUUCCGAUUUAGACCUCUCAAACAACAACAUUGGUGGACACAUACCUGAUUGGAUAUGGGGAAUGGGAGUUCUUAGCCUUAACCUCUCUCAUAAUUUAUUUACCAGCAUUAAUACAAAUUUAUCGAAUACAUCAAUUUCUGAUCUUGAUCUCCAUUCCAACAAGAUUGAGGGAGCUCUCCCACUACCCCCAUCGGGAACUGACCGAUUGGACUACUCCAAUAACCACUUCAAUUCUUCUAUCAUGCCUGAGUUUUGGUCACAUGUUAGCUCCACCAACUCCCUGUCAUAUAGAAGUUCUGGACCUUUCUUUUAACAACUUCAGUGGAUUAAUACCACCCUGUUUGUUGAAGCGAAACAAGCAUCUUGAGAUACUGAACUUGAGAGGUAAUAAUUUCCAUGGAUCAUUGCCUCAAUAUAUCACCGAGGAAUGUGCACUUCAAAUAAUAGAUUUCAACGGCAACAAGUUGGAGGGAAAAUUGCCGGUAUCUAUUAUCAACUGUCACUUGCUACAAGUCCUAGAUCUUGGAAACAACCUCAUAGUGGAUACAUAUCCAGAGUGGCUAGGAGUUCUGCCUUUGUUGAAAGUGUUGGUUCUGAAGUCAAACGGGUUUCAUGGUCCCAUUGAUUACUACCGGAUGAACAAACAGACGCAUACCUUGUUCCCAGAGCUGCAGGUUCUGGACCUUUCUUCAAAUUCUUUUAAUGGUAGCAUACCUGCACGAUUCCUCAAGCAGUUCAAAGCUAUGAUGGUGGUUUCUUCUGGAGCUCCGAGCAUGUAUGUUGGAAUUAUUGAAUCAUCAUCAGCAGCAGCAUCUCCAAGCUCUCAUCGAAACUAUAAGGAGUCGAUCACCGUCACGCUCAAGGGGCAACAAACAACUCUGGUACAGAUACUUUCAGUCUUCAUGUACAUCGACCUCUCCAACAACAACUUCGAGGGUGUCAUCCCUAACGAGAUCGGCGAUCUGAAGCUUCUCAAGCAGCUCAACCUGUCCAGGAACUCCUUCACUGGCGUGAUCCCUCCUCGGAUAGCGAACAUGCUGCAGCUGGAGUCCUUGGACCUCUCCUACAACCAGCUCUCUGGGGAGAUUCCUCCUGCAAUGACCGCAAUGUCAUUCCUCGAGGUUCUCAACCUCUCGUACAACCACCUGUCAGGGCAGAUACCGCAGUCCAGCCAGUUCUUGACGUUCCCGACCACAUCAUUUUUGGGGAACGACGGGCUGUGCGGGAAGCCGCUGAGACGCUUGUGUGACAUCAACCACGCACCAUCAGCUCCUGCUACGUCGGGCUCUUCUAAGGAGCUGAACUGGGAAAUUUUGUCAGUUGAGGUAGGGGUCAUUUCAGGCUUGGCCAUCGUGGUUGCGACCAUGCUGCUGUGGGGCAACGGGAGGAGGUGGGUCUACUUCCAUGUCGACAAGUUUUGGCUGCUUGUUCUGCAGCCGUGGAUCUGCCGCCGUCGAUGCUGAAAUGAGUUGUUCGUGUUUUUAUACCUUAAAUGAUAUGUGCAAGAAAAUGAGCUGGCAUUACGCCCUGCUUUCUCUGGACAGCAUUGUAGCAUGUAUACUUCAAGUUCCGUGAAUAAAUUUAUGUGGUGCUGAUGUGCUGCUGUAUGUUUGGGCGUUUGGCUACUAACUUUUUUCCAGAGAUGAAAUUUAGUUGAGGAUCCCAUAUGAAACUUUCAUAUCUACUCCUAUACUAUAUGAUGUUUAUUAGAUAUGAUUUAUUAAGCAAUGAAACUCUGCUUUGCUAAGAAAUACAACAGAAGUAGAAAACAAAAACUGCUGAAAAGCAACAAAGCUUACCUUUCUACUCCCUCCGUUCCAAAUUAUAGGUCGUUUUGGCUUUUCUAGAUACAUAGAUAUUAUUAUGCAUCUAGACAUAGGGUAUAUCUAAGUGCAUAACAAAAUUUAUGAAUCUAAUAAAGUCAAAACGACCUAUAAUUUGGGACGGAGGGAGUAAUUUACUAGAUGAACAACAUAGCAUAUACGCAGUUAAUGAUUGGGCACUACUCCGUGCUAAUCCUGAACAACAUUUAUUAUGUAUGUUUCUUUUGAGUUUGACGAAAACUAUGUGAUGCGCUACUCUUUGUGAUAUUUCGAUGCUAUUUUGUUGCAAAGAACAAAGUGAGUGAAUUGAGGGCCUGAUCUAAAAUUUUGAUAUCAUCUACGCUGUAUAAUGUCUCAUUGAUUUGUUAAGAAAUGAAAAUAUAUUUUUCAAGGAAGAAGAUUAGAAGAAACGUUGAAACUGUAUUAUAAAACAGAACUGCUGAAAUAAGGAGUUAAUACUGAAAGGGAAAUAUAGUCAUGAACUGCUUUCCUAUGAACUACUGAGAACAUCUUAAGUUAUUGCAGCAUCAAUCUUAGCUAAAUACAAAGUCAUGUGGCAAAAUAGUCCCUAAAGAUCUAUUACAAGAAUUCCAAUUCUUUGACAUACUUAAUUACCUCUUUUGCAACAUCACGUCAACUGAGUGUAGGUGCAUAUUACCAAAUAUUUUUUCCUUUCAGUUUCCUUGCCUUCUCACGCUAAACCUGAAAUGUUCUAUUGGUUGCUUGUUGCCUUGUUCCAAUGAAAUGAUUCAUGUAGGCUGGUCUACAGGUACAUUUGUUUUGGCAGAGGCUGCAUAUCCAUAAUGAGGCUGAAUUCUAGUUCUUGUCAACCUGUGGCACAACCUUUUUCAAACAUAUCUGUUUCCUGAAAUUCAGAAGUGAUUGAUUUCUAUCCACAAAGUUGUGCCUAGUAUGUGUACAGCUUCAUCAUUUUACCGGUGCUGGUGAUCAGCAAAGUGCUCCUUCAGAGACGGAGAUAAUUAAUUCAAUCGGCAUGUUCAAAUGGGAGAGAUCAAGCGGAUUGAAUACAAACCUAUCACCGGUCACCAUGCCAGAAGACAACAACCUCCUCGAGGUUUUUGACUUGUCAAUCCAUGGAGGUCAAUACCAUUUAUCGAUCUAGUGACCGUGUUCUGGACAUCGGACUGCGUUCCCGAACAGGGGCGGUGCCACUGCUAUGGCGGGGGCAACGUGGUCAGCUGAAGCCACACACGGGUGCCCAGGGGGCAGCAUGCUUCAGUCUGCCCAGCCAAUUCGGCUGCGAUGAUCACACGGCAAACGUUCUGGUUCAGGAAUUCCAGACGGAGCACGUUUACCGAUUAUCGUCAUCUGCGCCUAAAAUCCCCAAACUACCGUCGUCACUUUCUUCAACACCAUAACUUAAUUAAAUCUCUAGGUAAUCAAUCAAACAUUCCCUGUUACAAGUUCGAUGUACUUAUUUGUUUGGAUAAUUGUGGCAGGACUAGGAACUUGAUUUUGUCAAUUUAGUUGAUAACGCAUUGAAACCAACCAAUUUAGUGGAUAAUUGUUGGCCACUACCGGUCCUGCCUAAGUGCCUGCGCUGUUGACGUCGUAGCUUGACCUGGCGCUGACUGUGGAGGCCAUGCGCGAACGGAUCCCUGCAAAGGCAAGGUGCGACAGGGGAUGGUCGGAUGGAGGGGCGCGGCCGGAACUUUGGCGGGUGGAGGCGGGCGAGCUGAGGAUAGGAAGAUGGGAGCGGGGAAGAAAAGAAAGUGGCUAUCCACCGACUUGUGGGCUCCAUUCAUCAAUGUGAUGUAGCAAAAAAUUAGGUCAAGCAGUACAGGUAAACUACUGGAGAAGACCUCCUUUGCAUACCUAAAUUUUCCUCUCUCCUAUACCUAUAAGUGGUUUUAGGUAUUCAAAUAUACCAAUGCUGCUGGAGAUUCUCGUAGGCCUCUACUAAAUAUGCUAGCUAAAUUUUCCCACGUAAAAUCCACCUCAUCUUAUUUUCAAAGAGAGAUGAGGUAGUCAUUAAUAAAGAGAGUAUCUCAAGCACACAUUAUGGGCAAACAAUUACAUUUCUUUAUUAUGGGAUCCACUUUUAAUUUUGAUUAAUGUGUAAAAGUCAAGACGGUAGAAGUGAUCUCUUGUGCUAAUUUUUAUUAAGCUGAAUAUGGCAUGUAUACUUUAAAGCUAAUGUACUAGGUCAACUGUUGGAGGAGGUCUUAGACUUGGAGUGCUCCUUGGACCAUGUGUCCCAGUGUGGUUUCGGAAGCUCUGGAGUCUGUCUAGAGCACUUGGUCUGCCUCAUCAGUGGUUGGGUGUUUGGCUCCCAUGUGCUAAACUUUAGCACCCAUCACAUCGGAUGUUUGGAUACUAAUUAGGAGUAUUAAAUAUAGUCUAAUUACAAAAGUAAUUACACAGAUGGAGUCUAAUUCGUGGGACGAAUCUAUUAAGUCUAAUUAGUCCAUGAUUUGACAAUGUGGUGCUACAGUAACCAUGUGCUAAUGGUGGAUUAACUAGGCUUAAUAGAUUCGUCUCGUGAAUUAGCCUAGGAUUCUGCAAUUAGUUUUAUAAUUAGCUCAUGUUUAGUCCUCCUAAUUAGUAUCCAAAUAUCCGAUGUGACUCUGCUAAAGUUUAACAUCUCGUAUCCAAACACAAGGGUAUAGCGCCGCUCCGAUGCACCAUCGCUAAGGUCAUGAAUGUCUUGCCAUUCUCACCGACUUGUUGCUGCUGUAAACAGUUAAGGAGUGCCCCAGUUAUAUUUAUAUGGUCAUGACUCACGGCAGCCUCUAUCUCACCGACGUUUUGUGCAGCUACUUUUUCAAAAAUGUGCUUGAGCAUGUAUGUCAUUAAGAAGAGCAAGAGUGUUCUUUUAGUUUUGUCUUACGUCAAAUCAUCUUAAGUUUAACCAAGUCAAAUCAUCCAUGCGAAAAAACAUUCGAUGUUCGAUCUCUAGUCGACUAAUUGAGUGUUGCUUUCUUUUUGGGUGGAUGGAGUACAAAACAGCCAUAUCUGUCAAGUGUUUUAAAUCUUAGACCACUCGUUGCUAUCAAUUUGACAAUGUUUCGUUACAAGCCAUACAGUACCAAUUUGUUCCACAAGGUGGAAAAAACAAAUCACUCGCCACAUAAAAGCAUGGAAAUAUUCAUCAACAAACCACCGUGUAAGACGACAUCGCGAAAAUGCCAAGCAUAUCCAUACAUGGUCAUGGAAAAGAUAAAUUCAUACAAGGUAACUAAUAAUUAGGUGUUCCAAACUUUCUUUUUACGAGGGCGUCCAAACCUUUUGAUGAACGAAGCAUCUCCUUGCAGUGGAUGAUGGCUUGCUCACCGCAAGAUCUGCAAGUUGUCAUGCUUUGGUAAACCCUUAAAUUCCUAGAAUUGACCAUUGUUGGCCAGGUAGUGAUGGAAAUGUAGGUCGUGUUCCGUGUAGAAUAGGGUAGAGAAGUCUCUAGAGAAUUAAGUCGGUGAUGUUGAAAUUGCUGUCACGCCAAACCACAAUGUAAGACAUGCCACCGUGUAAGACAAGAAUGUCAAAAUUCAUCAAGAGACUUUAUCUACGACAAACCACCGUGUAAGACAUGCCAAAAAUGCAGGGCCCGGUGGCCCACCAAUAGUGUGGCAGCAUACCCAUGUAUAUAUGGUCCUGGAAAGGUUAAAUUCAUAUAGUUUAGGUGUUCCAACCCCCUUUAUUUUUUGCGAGAACGCCCAAAUUUUUUGAUGAACGAAGCAUCUCCUGGAAGUGGAUGGUCCGCCUCGCCACAAGGUCUGCAAGUUGUCGUGCUUUGGUAACCCCUUAAAUUCCUAGAAUUGACCACUGUUGACCAGGUAGUGAUGGAAAUGUAGAUCAGUGUUCCGUGUAGAAUAGGGUAGAGAAGUCUCUGGAGAAUUAAUUCGGUGAUGGUGAAAUUGCUGUCGCGCCAAUGUGUAUUAUUGUAGCAUGCUGCGAGCCCUUUAAUCCGUCAUCGAUCAUUGACUCAAUUAUGUUAUUCACUUAGACUAGCUAUGCCGGUACGUCUUGCUAAAGGCUACAUUUCCAUUUGGCGAUUUCUCCGCUGAUGCUGAUUAUAUUGUUAGCCAUAGUACUAGACCAUACUUUUACAAAAUUAUAUUUCUAAUUUCCUACGAUAUACUAGUAUACUCUGAUGACAACCAUCCUGUGUAACGGUGAAAAGUACAAUCAUAGUUAAAAAAGGAAUUAGAAAAAAAGAGUGCGCAUUUCUAAUAACUAUAUAUUCAUAUUACUCUACUUUUUACAAGUGUUGGUCCCUCACCGUCGACUCGAAGUCUUGGUCCUCGCCUAAGUCAUCCAUCUACAGCCUAUUUAAAAGUUGCUUCCAAACCUAGCUCUUGCACUAUCAUAACUCAUAACAAGCACCGAGCAUCUCUACUGAAAUUCCCACUAUCUUCAAACCAUGUUUCUUUGCCAUCCUCUUCCCAGCUACCUUCUCCUGCUCACCGUCAUCCUCGCUACCAGCAGGCAUGGAGCAAGCUUGUGCCACCAAGAUCAAAGUGCUACCCUGAUACGCCUCAAAGCUAGCUUCCACUUCGACGCCACGCCUUCAACUACUUGUCCGUGGUUUCCACCUGAAGAAACAAUUCUUUCGUCGUGGAAGGUAGAUACAGACUGCUGCACCUGGGAAGGUGUAACAUGUGACGGCACGUCGGGCUAUGUUACUUCUCUCGACCUGUCCUACCUCUGCAUCUCCGGUAAUCUCAGCUCACCGGACAUCUUUAAACUUACCUCGCUUCGCUCCCUUGACCUUUCUCACAACAAUUUUGAUGGAAGUCCAUGGCCAAGCCCCGGAUUGGAGCAGCUCACGAAUCUCAGGUACCUUAACCUCUCUUAUUCUGGCUUGUCUGGGAAUGUGCCCGUCGAGAAAGGCCAACUUUUCAAUUUAGUCACUUUAC